rnacentral:rRNA from 1 species
CAAUAGCGUAUACUAAAGUUGUUGCAGUUAAAAAGCUCGUAGUUGAAUUUCUGGAUGUGAAAGGUGGUCGGCACCUCACGGGGUCUGCACCUACCAUUCGCGUCCAUCCUCGGGAGGAACAUGUGGACACUUUAGUGGGUCUGCAUGGGAAUCUCGUCAUUUACUGUGAGCAAAAUAGAGUGUUCAAAGCAGGCUUACGCCGUUGAAUAUAUUAGCAUGGAAUAAUAAGAUACGACUUUGGUCUAUUUUGUUGGUUUGCAUUCCAAAGUAAUGAUUAAUAGGGAUAGUUGGGGGUAUUCGUAUUCAAUUGUCAGAGGUGAAAUUCUUGGAUUUAUGGAAGACGAACUACUGCGAAAGCAUUUACCAAGGAUGUUUUCAUUAA